CCUACGGGAGGCUGCAGUGAGGGAUAUUGGUCAAUGGGGGAAACCCUGAACCAGCAACGCCGCGUGAGUGAAGGAGUAUUUCGGUACGUAAAGCUCUAUCAGCAGGGAAGAAAAACCGGCCUUAUGGCCGCCAGACGGUACCUGACUAAGUAGCCCCGGCUAACUACGUGCCAGAAGCCGCGGUCAUACGUCGGGGGCAAGCGUGUUCCGGAUUUACGGGGUGUAAAGGGAGCGUAGACGGCAGCGCAAGUAUGGCGUGAAAUGCCGGGGCCCACCCCCGGAACUGCGUUGGAAACUGGGCAGCUGGAGGGCAGGAGAGGUAAGCGGAAUUCCUAGUGUAGCGGUGAAAUGCGUAGAUAUUAGGAGGAACACCAGUGGCGAAGGCGGCUUACUGGACUGUAACUGACGUUGAGGCUCGAAAGCGUGGGGAGCAAACAGGAUUAGAUACCCGAGUAGUC
rnacentral:rRNA from 1 species